CUUGACAUCCAGAGAACUUGGCAGAGAUGCUUUGGUGCCUUCGGGAACUCUGAGACAGGUGCUGCAUGGCUGUCGUCAGCUCGUGUUGUGAAAUGUUGGGUUAACGUCCGCAACGAGCGCAACCCCUAUCCUUUGUUGCCAGCGAUUCGGUCGGGAACUCAAAGGAGACUGCCGGUGAUAAACCGGAGGAAGGUGGGGAUGACGUCAAGUCAUCAUGGCCCUUACGAGUAGGGCUACACACGUGCUACAAUGGCGCAUACAAAGAGAAGCGACCUCGCGAGAGCAAGCGGACCUCAUAAAGUGCGUCGUAGUCCGGAUCGGAGUCUGCAACUCGACUCCGUGAAGUCGGAAUCGCUAGUAAUCGUAGAUCAGAAUGCUACGGUGAAUACGUUCCCGGGCCUUGUACACACCGCCCGUCACACCAUGGGAGUGGGUUGCAAAAGAAGUAGAUAGCUUAACCUUCGGGAGGGCGUUUACCACUUUGUGAUUCAUGACUGGGGUGAAGUCGUAACAAGGUAGGCGUAGACGU
rnacentral:rRNA from 1 species